rnacentral:lncRNA from 1 species
AGUGUUAUUUCUGUUUGGGCCCAUCUACCCUGGCCACGGCAUGAUGUUCAUCCGCAACGACUGAAAGGUGUUCAGAUUUUGUAAAUCUAAAUGUCAUAAAAACUUUAAAAAGAAGCACAAUCCUUGCAAAGUUAGGUGGACCAAAGCAUUCCGGAAAGCAGGUGGCAAAGAGCUUACACUGGAUAAUUCAUUUGAAUAUGAAAAACAUAGAAAUGAAACCAUCAAAUACCAGUGAGAGCUAUGGAAUAAAACUACUGAAGCAAUGAAGACAGUUGAAGAGAUCAAACAGAAACGCCAAGCUAAAUUUAUAAUGAACAGAUUGAAGAAAAAUAAGAGCUACAGAAAGUUCAGGAUAUCAAACAGGUCAAGCAAAACAUCCAUCUUAUCUGAGUUCCUCUUGCAGGCAAAGGGAAGCAGUUGGAAGAGAAAACAGUACAGCAGUUACAAGAGAAUGUGGACAUGGAAGAUG